GACGAACGCUGGCGGCGUGCUUAACACAUGCAAGUCGAACGGAAAGGCCCCUUUGGGGGUACUCGAGUGGCGACCGGGUGAGUAACACGUGCGUAACCUGCCCUUGCCUUCGGGAUAACUUCAGGAAACUGGGGCUAAUACCGGAUCGGAAUCCUUGCUUCAUGGUGGGGGUUGGAAAGCUUCGGCGGGUUUGGAUGGACUGGCGGCUUAUCUGCUUGCUGGUGGGGUAGUGGCUUACCAAGGCUUUGACGGGUAGCCGGCCUGUGAGGGCGACCGGCCACACUGGGACUGAGGUACGGCAGAGGCAGGUACGGGUGGGAGCAGGGGGGAAUAUUGCAGGAUGGGCGGAAGCCGGAUGAAGCAACGCCGCGUGCGGGAUGACGGCCUUCGGGUUGUAAACCGCUUUCAGCAGGGGCGAAGCUUGUGGUGACGGUACCUGCAGAAGAAGCACCGGCUAACUACGUG
rnacentral:rRNA from 1 species